rnacentral:rRNA from 1 species
AAUGAACGUUAGCGGCGUGGAUUAGGCAUGCAAGUCGAGCGGGUGCAGCAAUGCACCAGCGGCGGAAGGGUGAGUAAGGCGACGGCAACCAACCCCGAGGAUGGGUAUAGCCGCGGGAAACCGCGGGUAAUCCCCAGCGAUGCGAGGGCGUCGGCAUCGACGCUUCGCCAAAUGGAUCCGUCCGCCUCGGGACGGGCCGUCGUGGUAUUAGGUCGUUGGCGGGGUAGCGGCCCACCAAGCCUUCGAUGCCUACCGGGCGUGCGAGCGCGGCCCGGGACACUGGGACUGAGACACUGCCCAGACUCCUACGGGAGGCUGCAGUCGAGAGUCUUCGGCAAUGGGCGCAAGCCUGACCGAGCGACGCCGCGUGGAGGACGAAGGCCUUCGGGUUGUAAACUCCUGUCGAGGGGGAGAAAGGCUCCGCGAGGGGCUUGAUCGAUCCCUGGAGGAAGCACGGGCUAAGUUCGUGCCAGCAGCCGCGGUAA